CGGCGGCGGCAAGGCUGGGCGCGGAGGCUGGACGCGGAGCCCUAGAUUGAAAACGACUGCAAUGUCCAUCAGCAGAAUGGAUUGAAAACGUUGCGGCGGUACAGUCACAAAAUGGGAUACCAAACAACAAGGAGAAAGCAUGAGCCACUGCUACACUGACUACAGACGGAACUCAUAAACAAUAUCGAGCAAUGGAAGUCAGACAUGAAAGCAUGCGUACAAUGUGAUUCCGUUUAUGCAAAGUAUAAAACAGGCAAAACCGACAAUCAGGUACCUUCCUGGAGAGCCCUGGCCUUGCCUGAGUAGAUGUACCAAAGGAAAAGUGUAUAGUGACUAUUAAAAGCUGUGCUCUCUAAAAUUCGUAGUGCCAGCCACUUACGUUGGUCCUUUGCACAGCUCCCUGCUGUGACCGUCUCUGUACUCAAGAACAGGCAAAGGAGACACUAAGAAAGGCCUCAGAAAUAUUGGUGUCAGAGCCUUUCUUCCCCUAAGUUUGCCUCUGGAUAGACCAAGUCCCCAGGGCAGGCUGGACACAUCAUCGGAAAGCCAGCUACUAAAUAGAGUUUCCAGGGACACUCUGGAACGCUGCUGAUCUCUGCCUCCACCUGAAAAAGAAAGUUCAAAAAACGCAAGUUAUUCUCCAAGUC